UUGGAGCAAAGAAGGAGAAAAGAAGUAAAAGAGGGAUUGAAAAGCAAAAUCGGGAAAUCUGCCUGUGCAGAUCAGUUAACUUCGACAGAGCAAUGAGACCAUCUCAGAACGAUCCAGAGGAUGAUCUUUAUAUUGAUGGAUAGCCUCGGAUGUCUAGUUUCCGAAUCUUUUUACGGCUCAUCAAUAUCAUUUUUCUAUAAGAAGUUAUGGCCGAUUUAGUACAAGAAGGUCAGGCUGCGCGUGAAUCUGAGGUUGGACGGGAAUUUAUGUUUCGAGGCCCAAAUCACACCGAGAAGCCCGAGGACGAGUUUGUGCUUCAUAUUUCAGCUUAAUAUAGACAAAUGGCAUGAUGUGAAUGGUUGGAAUGAGUCAUCAAGUUCAAGAGCCAAUAGGAAAACUCCACCUAAGCACGUGAACCCUAAUUCUUUUAGGUUUUGGAUUUCCUAACCUCUAAGCAUAUAAAAGGAGAUCAAUCUGCAGCAGCUCUCUCUCUCUCUCUUCCUCCCCUUCUUUAGUUUGUUUUGUUUCUUCUAUGUUUAACUAGUUUUUAUUAGUUAGGGGGCUGCUCGAAGCCCCUAGACAUGAACUACAAGAUGAUUUGACCUUUGAUGUUAUUUUCUUUUAAGGGCUAAAUACUGUUUAGUACCCUGUGGUUUGGGUCCAAAAUCAAUUCAAUCCCUAGACUUUCAAUUUCAUCAAAAACACCCUUACACUAACAUUUCUCAUCCAAUAUACCCCUCCGUCAUGAUUCCGUUAAAUGGAGCCGUUAAGUAGCUGAUGUGGCAUGCCAACUUGGCACUGGUGGGGCCCACAUGGCAGGCAAAAUUUCAAAAUUCUAGACUAAAAUCUCAGAAUUUUUUUUUUAAUGACAAUUGCAGAAAAUUUGAAAUAACAAAUUUGAUUCCAUCUCUCUCUCUCCCCCCCCCCCUCGGUUUCUCAGCAAUCUCAUCCUUAGAUCUGCUGAACCAACCAAUCUCACCACUCUGGUUUCUCCGUCGGCUGCUCCCAUACCGGAAACAAAGCUCUUCGUAAUAGUCUCACGCUCCAUACCCACUACUCUAGUCAUCAUUUCGUCUGUAGUGAAAGCCCCAAAUGGAUCGAAAACCGGCGACUCCGAUUAGCAAUCGGACUCGGAUUCAGAGUGGAUGCUAUCGCAAUCAGAAUCGGAAUCUUUGAGUUUGGGUAUUCUCUAGCGUCAUCGGGACUUCAUCGGCGUCGAUCUGGAUGUAAUCUAUGAGGAUUGAUUCUGGGUUUUUGCAAUUUUUAAUUUCCCAGAAUUGCAGAGAUGAGGGCUUGUCAUCAGAGGCCUUGAACGGUGCGAUCUGAUGAGGCUCCGAUUCCAUCCAUUCCGCUCCGAUCCGCGUACGUCAUCAUGUUUUUCUUCGACUGGUUCUACGGCGUGCUUGCUUCCCUCGGUCUGUGGCAGAAGGAGGCCAAGGUCUUGUUCCUCGGGCUCGAUAAUGCCGGCAAGACCUUGCUUCACAUGCUCAAAGAUGAGUUUGAAAGGUUCGAUUGAUUGGACAUCUUGAUCUCAACUUCUCAAGGGCUGUUCAUUAGUCUUCGAAAACACAAGAACCUACUCUCCAGCAACUAAGGUUGUUUAUGAAUACAAAUGGCUAUAGUCUUGCAGUGGAUAUAUGGAGCUUGGGAUGUACUAUUCUUCAAAUGGCGAGUUCAAAACCCCCAUGGAGCCAGUAUGAAGGGGUGAGAAAUACCGUUCAGAACCUAUUCCUUUACAAAAUUUCUUUUCCAUUACUAGCAUAAUGAAAAUACAAAAUUCCUUUUUUACAAUGUAUAUUUCAUUAUUUUAUUUUGGAAUUGUCGUAGAACUCACAAGCUGUAGCUGUUACACAAGCUCUGGUAGCAUACUUAUUUUGAUUUAUAGUGUAACAAAUCCCACCUUCCAUGAGUGACUAGGAGCAGUUGACAUGUCUUUUUAGGAGCAACUCCAUGAAAAGGAGCAGGCCAUGCAUGCAGGAUUUGGAGAUGAAAUUACAAGAAAAAUAUAGAGAGCUGCAUCCUACCAAAUUAGAUAAUGAAGCAGUUAGUUAUAUGUUUAUGAAUUUUCUCUUGGUUGCUUUAGCUGAGCAAUUUCUAAGUUUUACCCACUUUCGUAAUUUAUAUAUAUAUGAGUUCAGAAGACAAAGGAAGUUGCAGAUGAAGUUUUGUUCAUGGCAAUCUUAUCAACUUUGAGUCACCAAUUAUGAUACUGUUGAACAUCUGUAGAAGAGUUCCUGCUACAACAUAUUUGAAUUCGACUAAACUACUAUACCUUUUCCUCAA